CUCAGUUUAAUGUCUGGGCAGCUGUGAUAAUUUUAAAACAAUAAAUUCACAUUCCAGUGGCCAAGAAGGAAACUCUGUUUCUCCCACUUCUAUCGGAGAGCUGCAUGAUUCCUGUAGGAUGAGAAGGAGGCAGCCCUGUGUGGCUUUUUCUGGUAAUCUAGGAUCUGUUUUAUUAGAUCUGCCCAUCCUUUCUCAUUGUGGAGGGUUUCUUUCACUGUGCUAUAGCUGGGUGGGAGUGCCUCUUGCCAAAGAUCUAUUGGUUGCCAGGGAUUACAGGGAAAAAUAGAAACUUCAGGUAGGCUGGCUACACUCCAGGUUGUGGGUUGUUUUCUCAUUGUGGAGGCUCAGGUGGUUUUCACUUUGUAGAAGGCUUUGGGUUCUCUGACAGGAAUAUUUGAACAUUGCCUGGAUGCCAGGGCAAGUAACCUCAUUCAAUCAGGGGAGUCUUGAUUUUUCUUUCAUUUCAUGGGGGGUCCACAGUUCUCCUCAACAGUGCUAAUAGACAUUCUUUACAGGCUUACAAUCACCACAGACAACCUUUGAGACACUGUCCCAACAUCAUCUGCACCUAUGAAAGGCCAGUGCGAUGUGUGAGAACACUGCUCCACACUGGAUUUGUCUUUGUCGUGGUUCCUACCUUUCCCAGAGAGACCUUGUGAGGCCCAAAAUGAAGGGAGGCAGUGAGGCCAAGGCCCUGGUAGUCUGUCACUGACAUCUGCCUCUGGGGUCUCAGUUUCCUUGGUCUGGCUCAACGUCUUCUAAACUCAACAUUCCCCAGUUCAUGGAAAAUGAUCCUCAUGGGAUUCUAUUGUAAAAGCUGCAUGAUUCCUGGAGAAUGUUUUAUUGUCCUGAAGUCAACCCAAAAAUCAACACUACCAGUCAUGUUGCAGAGCUCCUUGAAUUAACCUUGAAUUCAGUUUCCAGCUGAGCAGCUGCUUCACGUUGUGAGGGGGCAAUCCUCCAUCAUCCUGGGAUUUCAUUCUGGGACACAGAGUUUGAGCAGCAAUAAGGCUGGGUCCACAUUGCCCCUCAACAGCAUUAGUGGACAUGAUUGUCAGACUUGCAAUUUCCGCAGACACCUUCUGUGAACAUUUUUCAACAUCAUCUACAUGAGUGAGAGACCCGUUCGACAUGUAAGAAUACUGCUUGACUUUGGACCUGCCUUUGUCGUGGUUCCUGCCUUUCUCAUAGAUCCCCUGCCAGGCCCAGGAUGAUAGGAGGCAAUGAAGUCAAGGGCCGAGCCCCAUUCAUUGAAAGCUGACUCUGGGGUCUCGGGUAUAAUUCCAUCACAUAAAAUCCCCUCAACAACUCACCAGACUAUAUUCCAAUCUCCAUGGAACCUGAUUCUUGCACACAGCCUCUUUCAGGAAUGGAGUCAGAAGAGCAGUCUUCAGAGACCACCUCAGUUUGGAAAAGCCUCCUCCUUCAGUGGUUCCCAGCCAUGGAGUCAUCGUGAAGGGGCUCCAUGGUCAAUAAUUUUACGGUACUGCACUUGGUUAUCACAGACAGACUUUUUCAUGAUAGCAUGCCAUCUCUGUCUAUAUCAUUUUCCUCUGCUUAGGCAGGCUGACAACUCUGACAGCCAGGGGCCCGAAUCUACCUGGCAAAUGUGCAUGCUCUACUCUCAGUGCAAAAGGCCUGUUUGGGAGUUCUGACUAGUGUCACAAUAAAUGCCGCCAUUGCCUAGUGACAAGUCCCUGUGGAUUGAGGGAGGAAACCUCCAUGUAGGGGCAUUGGUAGUGGACUCUCACCUGUCUUCUAAGUAAAAUGCAUGGGACAGUCCCAUGAUGCUAGGAGAGGGCAGACAGAAGCCAGCCUCAAGAAACCUCAAGGGCAGCCUCAGG
rnacentral:lncRNA from 1 species